GAUGAACGCUCGCGGCAGGCUUAACACAUGCAAGUCGAGGGGCAGCGCGGGAUAGCAAUAUCCUGGCGGCGACCGGCGGAAGGGUGCGUAACGCGUGAGCGACAUGCCCGUUGCCCGGGGACAACCGGUGGAAACGCCGACUAAUCCCCGAUGGGAUAUUGUGCCGCAUGGCACGAUAUUGAAAGUUACGGCGGCGACGGAUUGGCUCGCGUCCGAUUAGCUGGUUGGCGGGGUAACGGCCCACCAAGGCUGCGAUCGGUAGGGGUUCUGAGAGGAAGGCCACCCACAAUGGGACGGAGACACGGCCCAUACUCCUACGGGAGGCAGCAGUGAGGAAUAUUGGUCAAUGGGCGGAAGCCUGAACCAGCCAUGCCGCGUGCGGGAAGGAGGCCCUAUGGGCUGUGAACCGCUUUUGCCUGGGGGCAAUAAGGGCGUCGCGCACGUCCGAUGAGAGUACCAGGCGAAUAAGCAUCGGCUAACUCCGUG
rnacentral:rRNA from 1 species